CCAGCUGAGACCCAACAAAGCCCCAGUCUAUGCCCAACUUCUCCAAAGCACUGUAAAUGCCUUCAGCCUCUGAAACAUUCGAAUCAAUCGUCCUUCCAACACUUCCAUGGUCAAUAAACGCUUGUAGAGCUUGAUCAGGCAUCGUUGACACCUAAACAAGAAGAUAUGAAACACACAUUAACAUUUGAUCCCCACUAAUCCCAUGGCCCUGAAGAUAACAGCCAAGAAAAUCCGUAGUGGCCCUGAAGAUAAAUAGCCGAGCGGCCAUAAGGAAAAGAAGGAAAUAAUUGGUUCAUAUGGCUCACCGUGUCAGGUCCAACAAGAGGGGCGACAUAUAGAGUAUCGGGGUAAGCUGGGUUCUUGACACUGGUUGAAGCCCAGAGCAAUCUUUGCUUUUUAGCACCUUUCUUCACAAGGGCUUCCCAUCUUGGACCAGAGAAUUUCUUCUGGUAAAGUUGGAAAGCUAGAGCUGCUUGAGCAUUUGCAGCCUGUACAGCAGACAACAAAGGGAAAUAACUUCUUUGAUUGAAGGAACGCAUGGUGCUGUUGCAGGAAUUUUGAUGUAUACAUUUGGACGAUCAACCAUUUUGUGCAACCAUUUUGCAGCAUCGACAGUCCCUUGGGUAUCAUCAGCCAGUCGGGGUGAAACCUCAACUGAGACAUAACCAUCCCCUCCAUCAGUUUCAUCAUAGAUUGGCUCAAAUAGUCUGCAAGCAUCUUGGAUAUCUUUUACUACAAGUUCCCAAUAUGCACUUUCAAUGUCUUUCCCUCCCUGUACAAGUUCCCUGUAGUACCAUCAUCAGUCGUUAAGCAACCAAACGCUAAGAUUCAGAG